AGCUGGUAAAAUUAAAAAAAAAAAAAAGUAAAAAAUAUAUAUAGAGUAUGUAGAGGUGCGUCCUUUGUCAAUCAGGCUACGCAAUCGACAAAUUCUCGACUUAAUGAUCUCUGUGAAUGGCGAGGGGCCCCGUGGCCUUCGUGUCCGCUUCUCCAUCUCCAUUUUCUGGUUAAAGAAACCCACACAGCUUCUCUUUUUCUCGUGCUCAUUGCGGGGACUGGUGGUGGCCUUCCUGUUGAAGAAGACGGAAACGAAAGAUUGGUGGUGGUAAGUUGCGAGGGCGAGGUGUUGUCUGUGUAAUUUAGGACAUUAUUAAUUAGAACAGAUGAAGAAUGAGAAUCUCUCUCUCUUUUUGAGUUUGGUGGGAUAAACCCUAGCUAACACAGUAAAAGUGAAGACAAAUCUGGUUUCAGUCUUUUUCUCAAAGUGGGAGGAAAGUCGUUGAUUUCUUGGUAUGGAUUCAUCGACAUUUUUCCCUUUUCAACAACUUCAAUUAACCCAUCACUUUAUUUAUUAUUCAUUUCUUCUGUAAUAACAUGUAGAUCCAUGUAUACCAGUAAAUUUCUGUCUAAGAUGAACACAUCAACAUAUAUAUAGAUAUAUAUAUAAAUUUUUUAUUUUUCUUUGACGAAAACGAC